ACCCGAGGAAAAGAAAUCAACCGAGAUUCCCCCAGUAGCGGCGAGCGAACGGGGAGGAGCCCAGAGCCUGAAUCAGCAUGUGUGUUAGUGGAAGCGUCUGGAAAGGCGCGCGAUACAGGGUGACAGCCCCGUACACAAAAGCGCAUGUGCUGUGAGCUCGAUGAGUAGGGCGGGACACGUGGUAUCCUGUCUGAAUAUGGGGGGACCAUCCUCCAAGGCUAAAUACUACUGACUGACCGAUAGUGAACCAGUACCGUGAGGGAAAGGCGAAAAGAACCCCGGCGAGGGGAGUGAAAAAGAACCUGAAACCGUGUACGUACAAGCAGUGGGAGCACCCUUCGGGGUGUGACUGCGUACCUUUUGUAUAAUGGGUCAGCGACUUAUAUUCUGUAGCAAGGUUAACCGUAUAGGGGAGCCGGAGGGAAACCGAGUCUUAACCGGGCGUUAAGUU
rnacentral:rRNA from 1 species